CUAUUUUACACUGAGAGCAGUGCAUCAGACCAGGGUUCCCUAUACAAACUGAGGAAUGCUAUCAACCGUCGGUCAGUGACUGGGCCUAAGGAAGUAACAAAUAACUUCAGAUCCCAUCAUCAAUUCAUCCAGGAUGUGACAGAUUCCUACAUUGUGUCAACAUUUUUGGACAUCAUGGACAUGGAGGAAGUUACAUCACAACCCUCACAUGCUCCUGUUUUUUCAUUAAUGAACAAUGACAACAAAAUGGAAUGGAUUACCAAUGUUGCCACAGAUGUUCUUAAUGCACUUGGCCUAAAUUCCUGGAAAAGUUUCUUAGACAUAAGAUCACACUUGGUAGAUCUAAGUACUGAUGAUGUACAGAUAGAUGCCAUGAAACAAGAC